CACAGGGAGGUAGUGACAAGAAAUAACAAUACGGGGCUUAAUGUCUUGUAAUUGGAAUGAUGGGAAUUUAAACCUCUUCCAGAGUAUCAAUUGGAGGGCAAGUCUGGUGCCAGCAGCCGCGGUAAUUCCAGCUCCAAUAGCGUAUAUUAAAAUUGUUGCAGUUAAAAAGCUCGUAGUUGAAUUUCUGCUGCAUUGCUUUUGCUCCUUUACGAGUCUUUGCAUUGUGGCUUAUUUCGGACUUUGUUUUACAAUGUCCGGAUGUUUACUUUGAGAAAAUUAGAGUGCUCAAAGCAGGCUUUCGCCUUGAAUAGUUUAGCAUGGAAUAAUAAAGUAGGACUUUGGUUCUAUUUUGUUGGUUUUAGGUACCAAAGUAAUGGUUAAUAGGAACAGUUGGGGGCAUUCGUAUUUAACUGUCAGAGGUGAAAUUCUUAG
rnacentral:rRNA from 1 species